rnacentral:rRNA from 1 species
UACGUAGGGGGCGAGCGUUGUCCGGAUUUAUUGGGCGUAAAGAGCGUGUAGGCGGCCAGGUAGGUCUGCUGUGAAAACUCGAGGCUCAACCUCGAGACGUCGGCGGAAACCAUCUGGCUAGAGUCCGGAAGAGGAGAAUGGAAUUCCUGGUGUAGCGGUGAAAUGCGCAGAUAUCAGGAAGAACACCCGUGGCGAAGGCGGUUCUCUGGGACGGUACUGACGCUGAGACGCGAAAGCGUGGGGAGCGAACAGG